AGAUUAAGUUAUUAAGGGCGCACGGUGGAUGCCUUGGCACUAGAAGCCGAUGAAGGACGUUACUAACGACGAUAUGCUUUGGGGAGCUGUAAGUAAGCUUUGAUCCAGAGAUUUCCGAAUGGGGAAACCCAGCAUGAGUUAUGUCAUGUUAUCGAUAUGUGAAUACAUAGCAUAUCAGAAGGCACACCCGGAGAACUGAAACAUCUUAGUACCCGGAGGAAGAGAAAGAAAAUUCGAUUCCCUUAGUAGCGGCGAGCGAAACGGGAAGAGCCCAAACCAACAAGCUUGCUUGUUGGGGUUGUAGGACACUCUAUACGGAGUUACAAAGGACGACAUUAGACGAAUCAUCUGGAAAGAUGAAUCAAAGAAGGUAAUAAUCCUGUAGUCGAAAAUGUUGUCUCUCUUGAGUGGAUCCUGAGUACGACGGAGCACGUGAAAUUCCGUCGGAAUCUGGGAGGACCAUCUCCUAAGGCUAAAUACUCUCUAGUGACCGAUAGUGAACCAGUACCGUGAGGGAAAGGUGAAAAGCACCCCGGAAGGGGAGUGAAAUAGAACCUGAAACCGUGUGCUUACAAGUAGUCAGAGCCCGUUAAUGGGUGAUGGCGUGCCUUUUGUAGAAUGAACCGGCGAGUUACGAUUUGAUGCAAGGUUAAGCAGUAAAUGUGGAGCCGUAGCGAAAGCGAGUCUGAAUAGGGCGUUUAGUAUUUGGUCGUAGACCCGAAACCAGGUGAUCUACCCUUGGUCAGGUUGAAGUUCAGGUAACACUGAAUGGAGGACCGAACCGACUUACGUUGAAAAGUGAGCGGAUGAACUGAGGGUAGCGGAGAAAUUCCAAUCGAACCUGGAGAUAGCUGGUUCUCUCCGAAAUAGCUUUAGGGCUAGCCUCAAGUGAUGAUUAUUGGAGGUAGAGCACUGUUUGGACGAGGGGCCCCUCUCGGGUUACCGAAUUCAGACAAACUCCGAAUGCCAAUUAAUUUAACUUGGGAGUCAGAACAUGGGUGAUAAGGUCCGUGUUCGAAAGGGAAACAGCCCAGACCACCAGCUAAGGUCCCAAAAUAUAUGUUAAGUGGAAAAGGAUGUGGCGUUGCCCAGACAACUAGGAUGUUGGCUUAGAAGCAGCCAUCAUUUAAAGAGUGCGUAAUAGCUCACUAGUCGAGUGACACUGCGCCGAAAAUGUACCGGGGCUAAACAUAUUACCGAAGCUGUGGAUUGUCCUUUGGACAAUGGUAGGAGAGCGUUCUAAGGGCGUUGAAGCAUGAUCGUAAGGACAUGUGGAGCGCUUAGAAGUGAGAAUGCCGGUGUGAGUAGCGAAAGACGGGUGAGAAUCCCGUCCACCGAUUGACUAAGGUUUCCAGAGGAAGGCUCGUCCGCUCUGGGUUAGUCGGGUCCUAAGCUGAGGCCGACAGGCGUAGGCGAUGGAUAACAGGUUGAUAUUCCUGUACCACCUAUAAUCGUUUUAAUCGAUGGGGGGACGCAGUAGGAUAGGCGAAGCGUGCGAUUGGAUUGCACGUCUAAGCAGUAAGGCUGAGUAUUAGGCAAAUCCGGUACUCAUUAAGGCUGAGCUGUGAUGGGGAGAAGACAUUGUGUCUUCGAGUCGUUGAUUUCACACUGCCGAGAAAAGCCUCUAGAUAGAAAAUAGGUGCCCGUACCGCAAACCGACACAGGUAGUCAAGAUGAGAAUUCUAAGGUGAGCGAGCGAACUCUCGUUAAGGAACUCGGCAAAAUGACCCCGUAACUUCGGGAGAAGGGGUGCUCUUUAGGGUUAACGCCCAGAAGAGCCGCAGUGAAUAGGCCCAAGCGACUGUUUAUCAAAAACACAGGUCUCUGCUAAACCGUAAGGUGAUGUAUAGGGGCUGACGCCUGCCCGGUGCUGGAAGGUUAAGAGGAGUGGUUAGCUUCUGCGAAGCUACGAAUCGAAGCCCCAGUAAACGGCGGCCGUAACUAUAACGGUCCUAAGGUAGCGAAAUUCCUUGUCGGGUAAGUUCCGACCCGCACGAAAGGCGUAACGAUUUGGGCACUGUCUCAACGAGAGACUCGGUGAAAUCAUAGUACCUGUGAAGAUGCAGGUUACCCGCGACAGGACGGAAAGACCCCGUGGAGCUUUACUGUAGCCUGAUAUUGAAAUUCGGCACAGCUUGUACAGGAUAGGUAGGAGCCUUUGAAACGUGAGCGCUAGCUUACGUGGAGGCGCUGGUGGGAUACUACCCUAGCUGUGUUGGCUUUCUAACCCGCACCACUUAUCGUGGUGGGAGACAGUGUCAGGCGGGCAGUUUGACUGGGGCGGUCGCCUCCUAAAAGGUAACGGAGGCGCUCAAAGGUUCCCUCAGAAUGGUUGGAAAUCAUUCAUAGAGUGUAAAGGCAUAAGGGAGCUUGACUGCGAGACCUACAAGUCGAGCAGGGUCGAAAGACGGACUUAGUGAUCCGGUGGUUCCGCAUGGAAGGGCCAUCGCUCAACGGAUAAAAGCUACCCCGGGGAUAACAGGCUUAUCUCCCCCAAGAGUUCACAUCGACGGGGAGGUUUGGCACCUCGAUGUCGGCUCAUCGCAUCCUGGGGCUGUAGUCGGUCCCAAGGGUUGGGCUGUUCGCCCAUUAAAGCGGUACGCGAGCUGGGUUCAGAACGUCGUGAGACAGUUCGGUCCCUAUCCGUCGUGGGCGUAGGAAAUUUGAGAGGAGCUGUCCUUAGUACGAGAGGACCGGGAUGGACAUACCUCUGGUGUACCAGUUGUCGUGCCAACGGCAUAGCUGGGUAGCUAUGUGUGGACGGGAUAAGUGCUGAAAGCAUCUAAGCAUGAAGCCCCCCUCAAGAUGAGAUUUCCCAACUUCGGUUAUAAGAUCCCUCAAAGAUGAUGAGGUUAAUAGGUUCGAGGUGGAAGCAUGGUGACAUGUGGAGCUGACGAAUACUAAUCGAUCGAAGACUUAAUCAAAUU
rnacentral:rRNA from 2 species